rnacentral:rRNA from 1 species
ACUCCUACGGGAGGCAGCAGUCGGGAAUUUUGGGCAAUGGGCGAAAGCCUGACCCAGCAACGCCGCGUGAAGGAUGAAAUCCCUCGGGAUGUAAACUUCGCAAGAAUGGGAAGAAUUAGUAGGGGCUAAUACCCCCUAUGAUGACGGUACCAUUUGUAAGCUCCGGCUAACUCCGUGCCAGCAGCCGCGGUAAU